CAGAUUUUUGCAUCUUUAGUUGGAACCUUAACUUAGUCCUCUCCAUCGCACCGCCUUUCUGUUCAAUGGGGAUGUCUUCUUUUCUGAUUACCUUUUUUUAUUUAAAGCUUAAUUUGAUUUUUGCAUCUUUAGUUGGAACCUUAACUUAGUCCUCUCCAUCGCACCGCCUUUCUGUUCAAUGGGGAUGUCUUCUUUUCUGAUUAUCUUUUUUUAUUUACAGCUUAACUUGAUUUUUGCAUCUUUAGUUGGAACCUUAACUUAGUCCUCUCCAUCGCACCGCCUUUCUGUUCAAUGGGGAUGUCUUCUUUUCUGAUUAUCUUUUU
rnacentral:sRNA from 1 species